rnacentral:rRNA from 1 species
GACAGAGGGUGCAAGCGUUGUUCGGAAUUACUGGGCGUAAAGGGCGUGUAGGCGGUGAAGUAUGUCUGAUGUGAAAUCCCUCGGCUUAACCGAGGAAUUGCAUUGGAAACUACUUUGCUUGAGUACGAGAGGGGGUAGCGGAAUUCCCAGUGUAGAGGUGAAAUUCGUAGAUACUGGGAGGAACACCAGAGGCGAAGGCGGCUACCUGGCUCGUAACUGACGCUGAGACGCGAAAGCGUGGGGAGCAAACAGG